rnacentral:rRNA from 1 species
GACGAACGCUGGCGGCGUGCUUAACACAUGCAAGUCGAACGGAGUGGCGAACGGGUGAGUAACACGUGGGUGAUCUGCCUUGCACUCCGGGAUAAGCUUGGGAAACUGGGUCUAAUACCGGAUAGUGCAAGAUGAGCUCGCGGCCUAUCAGCUUGUUGGUGGGGUAAUGGCCUACCAAGGCGUCGACGGGUAGCCGGCCUGAGAGGGUGUACGGCGACAAUGGGACUGCGAUACGGCCCAGACUGCAAUGGGAGGAAGCAGUGGGGAAUAGUACGCAACGAGCGGGCGCCUGAUGCAACGACGCCGCGUGGGGGAUGAAGGCCUUCGGGUUGUAAACUCCUUUCGACAGAGACGCGGUACCUGUAUAAGAAGCACCGGCUAACUACGUGCCAGCAGCCGCGGUAAUUC